UAUAUAUAUAUAAAUUAUGUUAGUGUAUUCUGCAAACAAAGUGAUGUCUGCAAUUGCAAUGCUCUAAAAGAACAGAACAAUUGAGGUUGCGUAGUCAUAGAGUUGGAGUUGCGGCAUUGAAAGUAAAACAGUUAUCAUUAAUUGGCGGUAAAAAUCUAGCUGAUACAAUUAAAAAUAUUUUGUUCUUGUAAGUAAUAAGCAAAAGUUAGAAGUUUAACAUUUAUGAUUGACAGUACAGCAUUUAUGUUCUUUUUUAAAUAUGCAGAUUGCCAACAGACACGACUUUGUCAGAAUACAGUAUGAAUUGUUUAAACAAGAAAAAAAAGUUUAAAGAGUUGACAAGUCUAUGUAACGCUGUCACUGAAGCUGCUUUAAAGUCAAAUAAAAAUUUAACCAAUAUGGAUGCCAUCCAACUUAUUAGGAGAGUAAUUAGGCAUUCUUCUGACCGAAUAAAGAGAACAUCCACUAAUAUGGAUUUCCACCAAUGAUGGCUUAAUUAACUGUUGUUGUUUUUUGUUUUUUUUCCAUUUUUAAACAAUUUUCUUCUAUUUUUAAUGCACUAUCGAUUAUAUUAUACAGUACCUAUUAGUUUUUAAUUUUGAAA